AGAGUUUGAUCAUGGCUCAGAUUGAACGCUGGCGGCAGGCCUAACACAUGCAAGUCGAGCGGUAGCACAGAGAGCUUGCUCUCGGGUGACGAGCGGCGGACGGGUGAGUAAUGUCUGGGAAACUGCCUGAUGGAGGGGGAUAACUACUGGAAACGGUAGCUAAUACCGCAUAACGUCGCAAGACCAAAGUGGGGGACCUUCGGGCCUCAUGCCAUCAGAUGUGCCCAGAUGGGAUUAGCUAGUAGGUGGGGUAACGGCUCACCUAGGCGACGAUCCCUAGCUGGUCUGAGAGGAUGACCAGCCACACUGGAACUGAGACACGGUCCAGACUCCUACGGGAGGCAGCAGUGGGGAAUAUUGCACAAUGGGCGCAAGCCUGAUGCAGCCAUGCCGCGUGUGUGAAGAAGGCCUUCGGGUUGUAAAGCACUUUCAGCGGGGAGGAAGGCGGUAAGGUUAAUAACCUUGGCGAUUGACGUUACCCGCAGAAGAAGCACCGGCUAACUCCGUGCCAGCAGCCGCGGUAAUACGGAGGGUGCAAGCGUUAAUCGGAAUUACUGGGCGUAAAGCGCACGCAGGCGGUCUGUCAAGUCGGAUGUGAAAUCCCCGGGCUCAACCUGGGAACUGCAUUCGAAACUGGCAGGCUAGAGUCUUGUAGAGGGGGGUAGAAUUCCAGGUGUAGCGGUGAAAUGCGUAGAGAUCUGGAGGAAUACCGGUGGCGAAGGCGGCCCCCUGGACAAAGACUGACGCUCAGGUGCGAAAGCGUGGGGAGCAAACAGGAUUAGAUACCCUGGUAGUCCACGCCGUAAACGAUGUCGAUUUGGAGGUUGUGCCCUUGAGGCGUGGCUUCCGGAGCUAACGCGUUAAAUCGACCGCCUGGGGAGUACGGCCGCAAGGUUAAAACUCAAAUGAAUUGACGGGGGCCCGCACAAGCGGUGGAGCAUGUGGUUUAAUUCGAUGCAACGCGAAGAACCUUACCUGGUCUUGACAUCCACAGAACUUUCCAGAGAUGGAUUGGUGCCUUCGGGAACUGUGAGACAGGUGCUGCAUGGCUGUCGUCAGCUCGUGUUGUGAAAUGUUGGGUUAAGUCCCGCAACGAGCGCAACCCUUAUCCUUUGUUGCCAGCGGUCCGGCCGGGAACUCAAAGGAGACUGCCAGUGAUAAACUGGAGGAAGGUGGGGAUGACGUCAAGUCAUCAUGGCCCUUACGACCAGGGCUACACACGUGCUACAAUGGCAUAUACAAAGAGAAGCGACCUCGCGAGAGCAAGCGGACCUCAUAAAGUAUGUCGUAGUCCGGAUUGGAGUCUGCAACUCGACUCCAUGAAGUCGGAAUCGCUAGUAAUCGUAGAUCAGAAUGCUACGGUGAAUACGUUCCCGGGCCUUGUACACACCGCCCGUCACACCAUGGGAGUGGGUUGCAAAAGAAGUAGGUAGCUUAACCUUCGGGAGGGCGCUUACCACUUUGUGAUUCAUGACUGGGGUGAAGUCGUAACAAGGUAACCGUAGGGGAACCUGCGGUUGGAUCACCU
rnacentral:rRNA from 1 species